AAACGGAAUUUGAGAUUUUCUGAAACGGAAAGGCAAUUUUUAGAAACAGAAAAUCACUGUCCCUAAAGAUAUAAAGAUAACACAGAAAGCAUAUAUAGUAUACUAUUUACAAAUCAUGAACUUCAUAAGGCAACAUAUUCAAUUAACUAACUAAUGCUCAAAUACUAUUACUAAAUAAUAGUUAAAUAGGUACUUAAUGGCAAACAGUGGCAGUAGUAUCUUUCAAAAUAUGUAUACAAUGUAAAAGGAAAAUAGUGUGAAGACAUCAAAAUCUGGACAUUAUGAUUUGACAGAACCGUGAUAAUUUCUUUAAUACAUUUUUGUUUCUAGAAUUAAAAAGCUGCUUCAUUUUCAAAACAUUCGGUCGACGAGCAUAAAAGGAAUUAAUCAGAGCUUUCCGAUCUGUUUCAAAAAACGGACAUUUAAAAAGAAAAUGAAACUCGUCACCUGGAUCAUUCAUUUUACACAAGGUGCACAAUUUUACUUCUUGAUCAGGAAGAUAUCGUCCCUCGCUUACAGGUAGUCUAUGGUUUCCACAUCUAAAUCUACAUAAUGCUAACCGAUCCGAAUAAUCAAGUUUGAUCAAAUAAUCCU
rnacentral:lncRNA from 1 species